UGAAGUCAAAGAUAGCUUUGAGCCU
rnacentral:piRNA from 1 species